rnacentral:rRNA from 1 species
UACGAAGGGGGCUAGCGUUGCUCGGAAUCACUGGGCGUAAAGGGUGCGUAGGCGGGUCUUUUAAGUCGGGGGUGAAAUCCUGGAGCUCAACUCCAGAACUGCCUUCGAUACUGGCGAUCUCGAGUCCGGAAGAGGUGAGUGGAACUCCUAGUGUAGAGGUGGAAUUCGUAGAUAUUAGGAAGAACACCAGUGGCGAAGGCGGCUCACUGGUCCGGUACUGACGCUGAGGUGCGAAAGCGUGGGGAGCAAACGGG